rnacentral:rRNA from 1 species
UGGGGAAUAUUGCACAAUGGGGGAAACCCUGAUGCAGCGACGCCGCGUGAGCGAAGAAGGCCUUCGGGUCGUAAAGCUCUUUUAUAUGGGAAGAUAAUGACGGUACCAUAAGAAAAAGCCCCGGCUAACUACGUGCCAGCAGCCGCGGUAAUACGUAGGGGGCUAGCGUUGUCCGGAAUCACUGGGCGUAAAGGGUUCGCAGGCGGCAAUGCAAGUCAGAUGUAAAAGGCAAAGGCUCAACCUCAUUAAGCACUUGAAACUGAUAGACUUGAGUGAAGGAGAGGAAAGUGGAAUUCCUAGUGUAGCGGUGAAAUGCGUAGAUAUUAGGAGGAAUACCGGUGGCGAAGGCGACUUUCUGGACUUUUACUGACGCUCAGGUACGAAAGCGUGGGGAGCAAACAGG